rnacentral:rRNA from 1 species
CCUACGGGGGGCUGCAGUGGGGAAUAUUGGACAAUGGGGGGAACCCUGAUCCAGCCAUGCCGCGUGUGUGAAGAAGGCCCUCGGGUUGUAAAGCACUUUCAGUGAGGAAGAACGCCUGGUGGUUAAUACCCAUCAGGAAAGACAUCACUCACAGAAGAAGCACCGGCUAACUCCGUGCCAGCAGCCGCGGUAAUACGGAGGGUGCGAGCGUUAAUCGGAAUUACUGGGCGUAAAGCGCGCGUAGGUGGCUGGAUAAGCCGGUUGUGAAAGCCCCGGGCUCAACCUGGGAACGGCAUCCGGAACUGUCAAGCUAGAGUGCAGGAGAGGAAGGUAGAAUUCCCGGUGUAGCGGUGAAAUGCGUAGAGAUCGGGAGGAAUACCAGUGGCGAAGGCGGCCUUCUGGACUGACACUGACACUGAGGUGCGAAAGCGUGGGUAGCAAACAGGAUUAGAUACCCUUGUAGUC